UACGUAGGGUGCAAGCGUUGUCCGGAAUUAUUGGCGUAAAGAGCUCGUAGGCGGUCUGUCACGUCGGCUGUGAAAUCCCGAGGCUCAACCUCGGGUCUGCAGUCGAUACGGGCAAACUAGAGUAUUGCAGGGGAGACUGGAAUUCCUGGUGUAGCGGUGAAAUGCGCAGAUAUCAGGAGGAACACCGGUGGCGAAGGCGGGUCUCUGGGCAGUAACUGACGCUGAGGAGCGAAAGCGUGGGGAGCGAA
rnacentral:rRNA from 1 species